rnacentral:tRNA from 1 species
GGGCCAGUAGUCUAGCAUGGAUAAGGCACCUGCUUGCGGAGUAGGAUAUCGCAAGUUCGAAUCUUGCCUGGCCCG